rnacentral:rRNA from 1 species
GAUGAACGCUGGCGGCGUGCCUAAUACAUGCAAGUCGAGCGAACAGACGAGGAGCUUGCUCCUCUGACGUUAGCGGCGGACGGGUGAGUAACACGUGGAUAACCUACCUAUAAGACUGGGAUAACUUCGGGAAACCGGAGCUAAUACCGGAUAAUAUAUUGAACCGCAUGGUUCAAUAGUGAAAGACGGUUUUGCUGUCACUUAUAGAUGGAUCCGCGCCGCAUUAGCUAGUUGGUAAGGUAACGGCUUACCAAGGCAACGAUGCUGAGCCGACCUGAGAGGGUGAUCGGCCACACUGGAACUGAGGCACGGUCCAGACUCCUACGGGAGGCAGCAGUAGGGAAUCUUCCGCAAUGGGCGAAAGCCUGACGGAGCAACGCCGCGUGAGUGAUGAAGGUCUUCGGAUCGUAAAACUCUGUUAUUAGGGAAGAACAAAUGUGUAAGUAACUAUGCACGUCUUGACGGUACCUAAUCAGAAGGCCACGGCUAACUACGUG